AGCCUCAACUCAUGUGAGACUACCC
rnacentral:rRNA from 4 species